UGCGUGCGCGUGCGUGUGUGUGUGUGUGUGUGUGUGUACGUAUACGCGAAACGAGCGCGACUUACGUCGGCGACGCGUUACCAGCCGCCGCCGCCGACGCCGCCACUACACACACACGCACGCACGCACACACACACACACACU